GCUGUCAUUAAGGUUGGUAGUGAGGUGGCCAUUACUCCAUUCUGUAAGGUGUAGCUGUAACUAAGGUUGGUAGUGAGGUGGUCAUUACUCCAUUCUGUAAGGUGUAGCUGUAACCAAGGUUGGUAGUGAGGUGGUCAUUACUCCAUUCUGUAAGGUGUAGCUGUAACUAAGGUUGGUAGUGAGGUGGCCAUUACUCCAUUCUGUAAGGUGUAGCUGUAACCAAGGUUGGUA